rnacentral:SRP_RNA from 1 species
GCUGAGCUCAGUAACGCGAGCUUGCAACUCUUGUGAGAGCUUUAAAGUGUGGAACGUUGCUUCAAACUAUUAGGCCGGGCCUACGUUGGCUAUUUACUGGGCUGCCCAUGCCAAGCCAAGAGUUGAGCCUUGUGAUCCUAGCGAAGGCUUGGGUCACUCUACUCCUGCAGAGGAGGGCACUGCGUGAGACUGGUAUAACAGAGCAGCGACUACCUCCCGCUCUUGACAGUGGAUGGAUAACGGGCUGGUGCCAAUUGGGCCCAUCGUGGCUCCAUGGGUUGAUCUCAAUUGAACCAUCACUUUU